rnacentral:lncRNA from 1 species
CAGUUGAAUGUAGAUCAGUGAUCUGGUUCUUAUACUUGAAAGGUCGUACACCAAAAGAGACUUUUCGAUGAAAUGAAAGUUUCUGGUGACAAUGUACCAUCGUAGGACGUAGUCAAGCAUCAGCACCACCAGAUCAAAUGUGGUUGGACAUCGGUGGAAACUGAUCCUAUUCCUGGACAGCCACAUUCUGCCAAUGAUGAUGACACCAUUUUGGAGGAUCACUGCAUAACUAUUUGGCAACCAGCCCAAGAAGUGAAGGACUUUUUUUAAAAUUAUAAUCCUAGCUGUGAUAUCGAAGAGGAAAACCUUCUGCAAAUCGAUCAGUUCUGACUGACUUCAAUUUGGAACUUUUGAGCAGGAAACAAGAUUACUUGUGGAAGUGGAGGCUUCUAUUCAUCCUGGAAGCAUGAAUGAAUGUACAUAAAAACCUUUUUAACUAAAUAAAUCUAUUUUUCUACAAAUG